CAGUAAGUUGGACUCUUUUGCUACGAUUACAUUCUAUAAUCUGAAGGCGCCAUGAAGCUGAGCUUAGUCAUCAUCGUUGGGUUGAUCUCCAUCAACAUUUGUGCUUGUAUGUCGAGGGAAACCCCAAAGGAUUAUACAUAUCACGAGACAAUGGAAAGUCGCAGUCUGAUGGACAGCACAGAUGGAAAAAAUGGGCCUUCCGGCAACGAUCACCAAUGCACACUGGUGGUCUACCCGAAUUGCCAAGGUGUGUCUCAGAGCACUCAGGAGACCACACAAAAAACUGGGGGAAAUUGAGAUCAGCAGUCUAUAUAUCAUGGUUAAGGACCGGUUCAUAAGUAAAAGAUGUACUAGAGUUUGGCUUGCUAUUUAAUUUUCUUUUUCAUGUGGAUUUUAGUCUUGUAAUAUAAUAACUGAGAUGAUAGCUACUUCUGUAAGGUUGAGAUUUUGGUGUUAUUAUAUGGAGAUGAUUAUGUAUAUGUGUUAA